rnacentral:lncRNA from 10 species
AUUGUGUGGCAACUUGCCCGCUUUUUCUCUUGCUCCCGCUGUAGCCAUGGGACAAGCUUGCUCCCUCUUUGCCUUCCACCAUAAUUGUAGGCUUCCCGAGGCCCUCACCAGAAGCUGAGCAGAUGCUGGGGCCAUGCUUCCUGGACAGCCUGCAGAACUGUUUCCCAUGCUGUGUUGCAGAGACAAUGCUCACUUUGGGGUGAGUAUCCGUUACAGAUGGCCAUGCCUUUUCAUCAUCAUCAGGAUGUAGCGAUAAAGUGGCCCUUCUCAGGCACACUGCCAGGGCAAGUUUUCUUAUCUCUUCCAUGAAUUCAGCAUCAUUCAACCCAUGAGAAGAUUCUGUUAGGACCAAGAAACAAUAGCUGAUCAUUGUGGGAUCCUCAGACCUGUGAGAUGAUGUAAUCUUCCUUUGCUCCUACCUGUCCUGUACUUGGCACAGCCUUGCUUCUAGAAGUUUCCUCUAGUAAAUUCAUUUCAUGGAUGCUGAGAGAACCAUCGCCUGUUAUUGACUCUUGCUUCUCAGAAACCUACAGUUCUCCUCGUAAUGGAGCAGUCUUCACAGCACUGUUCGUGUGACCCUCCUAUGACAGUCAUGGCAGGAAAGGAAAGCAGAAAGCUUCUGCAGUACUCAGCUGGGUCAAGGUAGAACUUCAAAGACCAAGCAGAAAGCUUCUGCAGUACUCAGCUGGGUCAAGGUAGAACUUCAAAGACCAAGCAGAAAGCUUCUGCAGUACUCAGCUGGGUCAAGGUAGAACUUCAAAGACCAAGCAGAAAGCUUCUGCAGUACUCAGCUGGGUCAAAGACCAGCUGCACUGGAGAAGAUGGCCCUGUUCACCCUGUGGAACAGCCUGGAGGUCAUGGCUACAAACCUACCUUCUCGUAGCAGAGACAUGACACUAGGUCAGACGGCUAGUUCUGCGAGAAAUAAAAAUGACAGUUGGACAUUUGGUAUCCUAUAGAACGAGUAUCUGUUUACUGAAUUUUUACGCUAUCAUCUGGUGGUUUUGGCAUUACUGGGAUGCAAUUUUAGUUUUUUUGUGUGCAGAGAAUAGCCACUUGUUUGGGUUUCUGAGGUCAUUUCUCACAUUUCUGCUCCAGAAAUGAGUGCAUUCCAUAAAUAUAUUUUUACUGCAAAGUCUAAUUUGCUUGCUUUCUUAAUGUGAGCCCAUCUCCUUUCUAAAAUCCUGGUUUUCUCAAAAAUGCUAGUUAGUUGCUGUCUUCUUACUAAUGUUGACAACAUCUUAUCAUCAAAUACUUACUUUGUAUUCUGUCCAGCCCUGUCCCUGGCAUAUAAUAAAUAUUUUAGAGGCUCUUUCUACUGCAGUUUCUUCCAAAAUUCCAUUUAUUUGAGGUUGAUGAGCUUCCUUUUUCUUUUUGUUUUUUGGUUUGUUUGUUUUUUGUAGAGACAUGGUCUCGCUUUGUCACCCAGGCUGGAGUGCAGUGGUGUGAUCAUAGCUCACUGUAGCCUCAAACUCCUGGGCACAAGCGACCCUCCAGCCUCAGCCUCCCAAGUAGCUGGGACUACAGGUCCACUGCCACACCCAGAUAAUCUUUAAAAUUUUUUUAGAGAUGGAGUCUUGUUAUGUUGCCCAGGCUAGUCUUGAACUCCUGGUCUCAGGUGAUUCUCCCACCUUGGCCUCCUGAGUAGCUGGGAUUACAGAUGAGAGCCACUACACCCGGCUUGAGGAGCUUCAUGAUAAAAAGAUGCCAUGGAGUGGCUCCUGUGCCUGUGUCCCAGGAGCCACUGCGUGGCCUGGCUUCAAGAUCAGGCCAGAAAAACUGGUUUAUUCUUGCAGUGGCUCACAUAUUCUCCAUGGAACCAACUCAGUCAGCUCUUGUAGGUUGAACCGUCUUGCCCAAAAGAUACGUUGAAGUUUUAACCUCAGUGUCUGUGAACGUGACCUUCAUUGGAAGUACAGUCUUUGCAGAUGUAAUGUAGCUAAGAUGAGGUUAUGCUGGGGAGGACACCCAAAUAACUGGUGCCCUUAUACGAAGAGGAAAAGAGAAACGCAGACAUGCAUGGAGAGAAGGCCAUGUGAAGGCAGAGGCGGAAUGAGAGUCAUUAAUAUAAGCUAGGGGCACCUAGGAUUGCUGGACACCGCCAGAAGCUGGAGGGGAAAGGAAGGAUUCUCCCCUAGAGCAUUCAGAGGGAGCACAGCAUGGCAGACACUUUAAUUUUGGACUUCUGGCCUCCAGAACUGUGAGUACAUUUCUGUUGUUUUAAGUCACCAAGUUGUGGUACUUUGUUAUGGUGGUCCUGGAAAAGUAGCACAGUGUUCAAAAAGGGCUAUUAGUUCUCUUGGACUAAAGAGGAAGUGAUUUGAAACUCCUAUUUGCCUACAACCUUGUGUUAGAGACAGACCCUGGGAGGAACUGUCAAAAUAUCCCAGUCCUGUGGCUCUGAGCUAGUCACUCACCCUGUGAGCCCCAAGUGCGUUGACUCACAAAACAGGUGUCCACUGAGUAUGCCUGAGUGCUGAGAUUGAGUCCCAGACCCUACUGGGUUUUAUAGUAGGAGACACAGACAAUAAACAGGGAAAAGAAAGGAAGGAAGGAAAGAGAAAAGAGAAGGAAGGAAAGAAAGGAAAGAAGAAAGAGAGAGAGAGAGUCAUUGCAGAUAGUGUUCUGUAUCAGGGAGAAAAUAAAGUGAAUAGGGGAUGAAAAAUAACAAAGCGUUGCCAGG